rnacentral:lncRNA from 1 species
AAAUAUAUGAUAUGUAUAUAGUAUAUAUUUAAAACGUUUAAGAAAUAAAAAAACGUGUGUUAAUAUGCAUACGCGGUAAGUAUAAUAAUAAAAAUAUAUAAUAUAAUGAUAAUAAACUAAUAAUAAUACAGUAAUAAUAAUGUAAUAUAUAAAAAAAAAAACCAAAAUAGCAAAUUAAGGAUUAAACUAAAAAAACAACAAAAUUUGAGAGCUGGAUUUGAAAAUAAAAACAAGAAAAGGAGUAAUUCAAAACAUGUGCAACAGGGGAAGGACUGAAGGAGUAAAUUACCCAAAAAAACACUGCACAGCAACGCGCAUCAUUGAAUUAAACCAAAACAGGAAAAAUUUUAAAAAAAAAGAAAAAACAGUGAUUGUGAAAACCAUAAAGAAAUGAAGGGCCUAAAUCAUAACCCAUCAACUUGAAAUCAAACAAAAACCCCCUUUUUAAACACUAAAAAGAAUAUUUUCUUUCUUUCUUUGACAUUGCGCCGUAAUGCUCUCCUUCUGCCCUCCUCUGCUCCUAUGGCCAUGAAACAAAGGAGUUUCAACGACGUCACACCGGUAAGUUCCCUUUACUCCCUUCCUCGUUUUGUUUAUUUGUUGUUUUUUAGAAGCAAAAGAAAAGAACUAAAAUAAAUUUUUUUUAAAAAACAGUAAAGGAACAGAGAAAAAUAAAACCAAAUCCCACCUUCAAAAAUAUUUUUCUGUAUAUUUUCUUUUUGAUUUCAGUACAAAAAAUUUUCUAACCCCCUUACAAUAAAUCCAUUGGCUUUUUAUAGCCAAAACUCCUUUACAAUUUGUUGUCUCUAUCCUAUUAGUGUUGCCCGUGGUUUAUUCGUUGCAGGUACGUGGAAAAAGCAAGGUGUGCUGAUCGUGGGUGGUUGCUGCGAUGUGAGCAGUUGCUGCGGCAUUCGCGGAGGCUUUUUGCUGCUGCAGUACUGAGGCAAAAGGGCUGGGCUCCUUGAUUCUGUUAUGGGUUUAUUGGGCUAAUGUAAUUGGGUUACAAUUUGGGCUUGUAACAUUUGUAAUUGGGCCACGUAAAUUAAGAUUUUAAAUGGACUGGGACCUUUGUUUAUUUAAGCCCGGACUAAAAUUGGGUAUUACAAUAGAAAUAGGCAUGCUGAUUAAAACAAAUCACAAAAAGAGAAAUCUAUGCAUUAGGUUUUUUUUUUUCUUGGUGAUAGGAAAAUUGGAAAUGUGAAAAAGGAAGUGUCUUUUUUAAAAAGAUUGGG